rnacentral:rRNA from 1 species
CUAACACAUGCAAGUCGAACGAAGCGAUUAAGAUGAAGUUUUCGGAUGGAAUCUUGAUGGACUGAGUGACGGACGGGUGAGUAACUGCGUGGAUAACCUGCCUCACACUGGGGGAUAACAGUUAGAAAUCGACUGCUAAUACCGGCAAUAAGCGCACAGUCCCGCAUGGCAGUGUGUGAAAAACUCCGGUGGUGUGAGAUGGAUCCGCGUCUGAUUAGCCAGUUGGCGGGGUAACGGCCCACCAAAGCGACGAUCAGUAGCCGACCUGAGAGGGUGACCGGCCACAUUGGGACUGAGACACGGCCCAAACUCCUACGGGAGGCAGCAGUGGGGAAUAUUGCACAAUGGGCGAAAGCCUGAUGCAGCGACGCCGCGUGAGUGAAGAAGUAUUUCGGUAUGUAAAGCUCUAUCAUGCAGGGAAGAAAAUGACAGUACCUGACUAAGAAGCCCCGGCUAACUCACGUGCCAGCAGCCGCGGUAAUACGUAGGGGGCAAGCGUUAUCCGGAUUUACUGGGUGUAAAGGGAGCGUAGACGGCCAAGCAAGUCUGAAGUGAAAACCCAGGGCUCAACCCCUGGGACUGCUUUGGAAACUGUUUUGCUAGAGUGUCGGAGAGGUCAGUGGAAUUCCUAGUGUAGCGGUGAAAUGCGUAGAUAUUAG